rnacentral:misc_RNA from 1 species
AACUUUCGGCAACGGAUCACUUGGUUCUGGCAUCGAUGAAGAACGCAGCGAAAUGCGAUAAGUAAUGUGAAUUGCAGAAUUCUGUGAAUCAUCGAGUUUUUGAACGCAUAUUGCACCUUCUGGUAUUCCGGGAGGUACACCUGUUCGAGCGCCCCUUCAAAUCUAAGGCUCAGCCUUUCGUUGAUGAUCUCCAAUCUAGGAGUCGUUGAAACAUCAUUAGCGCCUUCUCGGUUAGCAGCGUAGCAUAAUACGUAAGCGACAUCGAAUGAGGGUUGCUUAUCUUCUGAUCAUUUGGCCGCGGAUCAGGUGGGGAUACCCGCUGAACUUAAGCAUAUCAAUAAGCGGAGGCU